GAUACUCUGGUUUCUCUUCAGAUCGUAUAAAUCUUUCGGCUUUACAAAGAUUCCGUGGAGAGGAACAAUUCUGAGUCUUAAACCAAUUUUUUGAGGUUCUGCUCCAACAAGGCU
rnacentral:snRNA from 1 species